rnacentral:rRNA from 1 species
UAGAGUUUGAUCAUGGCUCAGGAUGAACGCUGGCGGCGUGCCUAACACAUGCAAGUCGAACGGAAACAUCCCGUCGAUGCGAUUUCGGUCAAGUCAAGGGAUGUUUUAGUGGCGGACGGGUGAGUAACGCGUGGGCAACCUGCCUUACACCGGGGGAUAACACUUAGAAAUAGGUGCUAAUACCGCAUAACAGGAGAACAUGCAUGUGUUUUCCUUGAAAACCACGGUGGUGUAAGAUGGACCCGCGUCUGAUUAGCUUGUUGGCAGGGUAACGGCCUACCAAGGCGACGAUCAGUAGCCGGCCUGAGAGGGUGGACGGCCACAUUGGGACUGAGACACGGCCCAGACUCCUACGGGAGGCAGCAGUGGGGAAUAUUGCACAAUGGGGGAAACCCUGAUGCAGCGACGCCGCGUGAGUGAAGAAGUAUUUCGGUAUGUAAAGCUCUGUCAGCAGGGAAGAAAAUGACGGUACCUGACCAAGAAGCCCCGGCUAACUACGUGCCAGCAGCCGCGGUAAUACGUAGGGGGCAAGCGUUAUCCGGAUUUACUGGGUGUAAAGGGAGCGCAGACGGCAGUGCAAGUCCGGAGUGAAAGCCCGGGGCCCAACCCCGGGACUGCUCUGGAAACUGUACGGCUGGAGUGCCGGAGAGGUAAGCGGAAUUCCUAGUGUAGCGGUGAAAUGCGUUAAAAUUAGGAGGAACGCCAGUGGCGAAGGCGGCUUACUGGAAGGGAACUGGACGUUUAGGGUCGAAAGCCGGGGGACAAACCGGGAUAGAUACCCGGGCAGUCCACCCCAUUAACGACGAAUUACAGGUGUCGGGGGAUAAAAAC